GUUCUAUAUAGCGCUUCAGUGAGUGGGGGACUGUAUAACCCUGUGACAUAGCGUUCGCUCUAGCUCCACCUUGCUCUCCCUAAGUGAGAGAGGUCCGCACUUUUGCAGACAGUCCAACAACAAGUUCGAGGGGUUUACGAGCUUAGAAACAUUUUCGGAAUUUGCCGUUAUUCCUAUUAAGACACUUUAUGUCGGUGUUUCCUUUUUUUUUGUAAUUACCUGUAUCUCCUAACUUGGCUCUUUUACUAUAGCGAUGCUUUGAUGACUUGUGAUUAGCCGACAACAACAGCGAGCUUCACGCACCACUUUCGUGAAAAGCAAGAGCAGCAGCAUCAAUUGUACAAUUUUCACUUUCUCUCCACAACACCAGUCGCGUUCGGGUGUGUACGGGUCCUUACGGGCAAAUCGGUUAUAAUUACAAAUACCCGAGACCCAUGACAAUUAGGUCCAACCUGGCUUUUCGGGUACAGGUGGACAGGACAUUGGAGUCUUGGAGCCUUCAUCACGACUCUGAUUAUUUUACUGCUAGUCAUCUUUACUGUCAUUGGACUUUUCAUCUGGAACAAAAAACAGGACCUGAGCCCUAGGACAAUGCCCCAGGACUUCCUGGCCUGAUGACUCCUG